rnacentral:misc_RNA from 1 species
GUUUUAAGGAAUUAAUUCAAUAAUAACAUUAUCUCUCAAUGGUUCUAAUCACAACUUGAACCAAAUUAUAGCAUUUUGAUUGUGCACGAGCUACAAUAUCACAAAUCAAUACUACCAAGUGCGAAGAAUUUUUACCUGCAGCUGAAGGCUACAAUUUCUUCCCCUCCUAAUUUGAACCAUUCUCAUCAAGUACUGACAUUGAAUUUUGCAGGAUCUCAGCUGCAUCAUCAAGUUCCUGCUCUGUAAUGAUCAAUGGAGGCACAAGCCUCACAACAUUUCCCUUACCAGCAGUUAAUACAAGAAGACCAGAGUUUCGACAUGCAUCCACAAGUUGCGAGGCUGGUACAUCCAACUCAAUUCCAAUAAUCAGUCCUUGUCCUCGAAUUUCUUUCACAUGUGAGUUUCCACCCAGCCUCUGCUUUAAAAUUUCUUUGAAGUACAGCCCCUUUUUAGACACACUGGCCAAGAAAGCUGGUUUUGAGAUUUUCUCCAGAACAGUAAGGGCAGCAUUACAGACAAGAGAUCCACCGGCAAAAGUACUUCCAUGAUCACCAUAAUUUAUGGCUGAAGCAACUUUUUCAGUUACCAACACAGCUCCAAUGGGUAAGCCUCCAGCGAGUGGUUUGGCAAGUGUCAUUAUAUCUGGGAAGACACUGUAUGCUUCAUGAGCCCAUAGGCACCCAGUCCUGCCUAAACCACAUUGCACCUCAUCAAAAACCAGGAGAGCCCCAGCAUCAUCACAAGCAGCACGCAAGAACUCUAAAAAUUCCUUUGUUGCACUGUAGAUGCCACCUUCACCUUGUAAGGUUUCAACAAAAACUGCAGCAGUUUUCCCACGUUGAAUUAAUUCUCUUGUCGCAUGUAUAUUUCCAUACUCCAAAAAUGUCACUCCAGGCAUCAGAGGUUCAAAAGGUGAUCUAUACUGUUCUUUGCUUGUCAGAGCAAGAGCACCCAUUGUCCUCCCAUGGAAGCUAUUAGAAAAAGAUAUGAAUUCUGUGGCUGGCUGUGCAGCAUCAGGAUUUGAGAAUCUCUGGUACUUCCUAGCAAAUUUGAUAGCUGCUUCAUUUGCUUCUGUUCCAGAGUUUGUGAAAAACACACGAUCAGCAAAAGAGCAAGCUACUAGGCGCUUAGAAAGCUCCACCUGAGGAAUGGAAUAGUACACAUUGCUGACAUGGGUCAACACAUUAGCCUGAUCAACCACAGCCUUAACCCAAUCAGGAUCACAAUGCCCCAAGGCAUUCACCGCAAUCCCCGAAGUCAAGUCCAAAUACUCUCGUCCUUCAACAUCAUAUAAUUUACAACCUUUGCCACUGGCCAACACCAACGGCGCCCUAGCAUACGUCCCCACCAUAACCUUUCCCUCCGCCUCCAUCACCUCCUUGCUCUCUCUCCCCACCCCGAUUUUCCCGGCACCAUCAGGUGCUUUCACGUCCACAUUAAGACAAGAGAUGGCGAAUGGUUUCCGGCAGUUGAAUCUGACUACUUGUCGUUGCCUUUCUUCUCUGUCUCGAUCGAACAAGCGGCGGAGAUUAAGUGAUUGGGAGAUUGUAGCGUUGGAACAAAUUUGCAAAGAAGAACUCAUUUCCUUUAAAGCUGCAACUCAAAAUGUAAUCAUAUAUCAGCAGCGGAGUGCAGAAAUACCGAUAUAUUUCAAGCACCAAUGAAAGAUAAAGUAGAAAUGAGUUUUUCCCACUCGAUGGAACCGCAAGAGGAGCAAGAUUCAGGUGCCUACCUUAUAGAUUGUCAGACUUCAAGCACCCACCCAAUUCUUGUUAAUUUACUGAACAAGUACCAGGCUCUUGGAUCCUAA